rnacentral:rRNA from 1 species
UACGUAGGGUGCGAGCGUUGUCCGGAAUUAUUGGGCGUAAAGAGCUUGUAGGCGGUUUGUCGCGUCUGCUGUGAAAAUCCGAGGCUCAACCCCGGACUUGCAGUGGGUACGGGCAGACUAGAGUGUGGUAGGGGAGACUGGAAUUCCUGGUGUAGCGGUGAAAUGCGCAGAUAUCAGGAGGAACACCGAUGGCGAAGGCAGGUCUCUGGGCCACUACUGACGCUGAGAAGCGAAAGCGUGGGGAGCGAACAGG